rnacentral:rRNA from 1 species
UGGGGAAUAUUGGACAAUGGGCGAAAGCCUGAUCCAGCAAUGCCGCGUGAGUGAUGAAGGCCUUAGGGUUGUAAAGCUCUUUUUACCAGGGAUGAUAAUGACAGUACCUGGAGAAUAAGCUCCGGCUAACUCCGUGCCAGCAGCCGCGGUAAUACGGAGGGAGCUAGCGUUGUUCGGAAUUACUGGGCGUAAAGCGUGCGUAGGCGGCCAUUCAAGUCAGAGGUGAAAGCCUGGAGCUCAACUCCAGAACUGCCUUUGAAACUAGAUGGCUAGAAUCUUGGAGAGGUGAGUGGAAUUCCGAGUGUAGAGGUGAAAUUCGUAGAUAUUCGGAAGAACACCAGUGGCGAAGGCGACUCACUGGACAAGUAUUGACGCUGAGGUACGAAAGCGUGGGGAGCAAACAGGAUUAGAUACCCCCGUAGUCCCUGAGCGGGCUGGCAAGGCG